AAUAAACCUUGCAUUCAUGUAUAGUUUCUGAUUGUCUUCUUGUUUAUUAGGGACUCAACAAGUCACUCAUAGAGGGAAUAAAGAGGGAAGAGAGGAAUUGCUUGUAGUGUUACUGAGCCACAUUCAGAUCUUGAGGGUGACAAUGAGGAGGGUCAACAGGGUUUCACAAUCAGAAAUCAGAGGAGGAAUAGAGGGCCAUUCUCUCCCCUGAGCAGUUCAGGAUCCUACGCCAGAAGGGAACUGAAUUGAAGGGUAUUGGAGAAUAUAACAAGUUCUAUGAAGAAGGGGUUUACAACUGUGCUGGGUGUGCAACUCCUCUUUACAAGUCUUCCACUAAAUUUGACUCUGGUUAUGGUUGGCCUGCUUUCUUUGAGGGUUUACCUGGUGCCAUCAAUCGCUCAGUGAGUUCUUUUUCUUAUUCAAUAUUUGGAUAUUCAUCUCUCUUUUUUUUUCCUUUGCUAACAUUGAUUG